ACGUUACGAGGAGUUCUAUAAUUACAGUCCGAUAGUAACUCAUAAAUAUGUACCUAUGUAUAGUAACAUAUUAUGUAACAGAAAGAGAGAGGGAGAAAAGAAAUCUAUUCUUUAUGCAAAAAGAGUUCUCAUCACACAAGAUGCUGGGAAAUAUAUAGGUCGGCCGGUUUUUCAGGUCAGCAAGCCUCGUGAAUGAAGCGCAUCACUAUAUUGUAAACGCUCUCGCGCACUUCGUUAUUUUAAACCGAUUCUCGAGGGGAGGAAACGAAAUGUCAAUAGGCUUUGUGCGCGAACAGCUUGACCGUCGUCAUCAGAAAGAUAAAGCGGUUAAUUUUACAUGGCUUCGUAUGCAAGCCGUGCCAAUAAACCUACUGUGUAAACAAAAUUUACUUCCACGCAAAAAUAAAUGUUAUAUUCUUAAA